rnacentral:rRNA from 1 species
GACGAACGCUGGCGGCGUGCUUAACACAUGCAAGUCGAACGGAAAGGCCCUGCUUUUGUGGGGUGCUCGAGUGGCGAACGGGUGAGUAACACGUGAGUAACCUGCCCUUGACUGUGGGAUAACUUCAGGAAAGUGGGGCUAAUACCGGAUAGGAGCUCCUGCUGUUUGGUGGGGGUUGGAAAGUUUCGGCGGGUGGGGAUGGACUGGCGGCUUAUCAGCUUGUUGGUGGGGUAGUGGCUAACCAAGGCUUUGACGGGUAGCCGGCCUGGGAGGGUGACCGGCCACAUUGGGACUGAGAUACGGCCCAGACUCGUACGGGAGGCAGAAGUGGGGAAUAUUGCACAAUGGGCGGGAGCCUGAUGCAGCAACGCCGCGUGCGGGAAGACGGCCAUCGUGUUGUAAACCGCUUUCGCCUGUGACGAAGCGUGAGUGACGGUAAUGGGUGAAGAAGCACCGGCUAACUACGUG